rnacentral:rRNA from 1 species
AGAGGUAUCGUAAUUGAAGAGGUUUGGAAAGACCCACCACAGAAGGUAAUAGUCCUGUAUGUUAAACGAGAAAACUUUAGAUAUGAUCCAGAGUACCACGGGACACGUGAAACCCUGUGGGAAGCAGGAGGGACCACCCUCCAAGGCUAAAUACUACCUAGUGACCGAUAGCGUAUAGUACCGGGAGGGAAAGGUGAAAAGAACCCCGGGAGGGGAGUGAAAUAGAACCUGAAACCCUGCACUUACAAGCUGUGGAAGCACAUUUCUUGUGUGACCGCGUACUUUUUGUAGAACGGGCCAACGAGUUACGUUAAGUAGCAAG